CCGGUAGCUCAGUCGGUUAGAGCGCUGGCCUGUCACGCCAGAGGUCGAGGGUUCAAGUCCCUUCCG
rnacentral:tRNA from 1 species